GCGCCGAUGGCCGAGCGGUUAAGGCGAUAGUUUAGAAAGCUAUUGGGGUCUCCCCGCACAAGUUCGAAUCUUGUUCGGCGCG
rnacentral:tRNA from 1 species